CAGUAGCCGCGGGAAUACGAGGGGGGCAAGCGUUGUUCGGAAUUAUUGGGCGUAAAGGGCGCGUAGGCGGUUUGGCGAGUUUGGUGUGAAAUCUUCGGGCUCAACUCGAAGUCUGCAUCGAAAACUGCCGGGCUUGAGUAUGGGAGAGGUGAGUGGAAUUUCCGGUGUAGCGGUGAAAUGCGUAGAUAUCGGAAGGAACACCUGUGGCGAAAGCGGCUCACUGGACCAUUACUGACGCUGAGGCGCGAAAGCUAGGGGAGCAAACAGGAUUAGAUACCCGGGUAGUCCCUGUCUCUUAUAC
rnacentral:rRNA from 1 species